rnacentral:rRNA from 1 species
UACAGAGGGUGCGAGCGUUAAUCGGAAUUACUGGGCGUAAAGCGCGCGUAGGCGGCUUUGCAAGUCGGGUGUGAAAUCCCCAAGCUUAACUUGGGAACUGCAUUCGAGACUGCAUUGCUAGAGUAUGGGAGAGGGAAGUGGAAUUUCCGGUGUAGCGGUGAAAUGCGUAGAUAUCGGAAGGAACAUCAGUGGCGAAAGCGACUUCCUGGACCAAUACUGACGCUCAUGUGCAAAAGCGUGGGGAGCAAACAGG